CCUACGGGGGGCAGCAGUAAGGGAUAUUGGUCAAUGGGGGAAACCCUGAACCAGCAACGCCGCGUGAGGGAAGACGGUUUUCGGAUUGUAAACCUCUGUUCUCUGUGAAGAUAAUGACGGUACCUCGUAAGAAAGCCACGGCAAACUACGUGCCAGCAGCCGCGGUAAUACGGAGGGGGCGAGCGUUGUCCGGAAUGACUGGGCGUAAAGGGAGUGUAGGCGGCAUAUUAAGUUAUGUGUGAAAGCCCGCGGCUCAACCGCGGAAUUGCACAUAAAACUGGUAAGCUGGAGUGCAGGAGAGGUAAGUGGAAUUCCCGGUGUAGCGGUGGAAUGCGUAGAUAUCGGGAGGAACACCAGAGGCGAAGGCGACUUACUGGACUGUAACUGACGCUGAGGCUCGAAAGCGUGGGGAGCAAACAGGAUUAGAUACCCCUGUAGUC
rnacentral:rRNA from 1 species